UUAUUUAAUGGCCGCGGUAUUUUGACCGUGCAAAGGUAGCAUAAUCAUUAGUCUAUUAAUUGUGGACUUGUAUGAAUGGUUGGACGAAAUAUUUACUGUCUCAUUGGUAUUAUUAUAAUUUAAAUUUUUAGUUAAAAUGCUUAAAUUUUAUUAUAGGACGAGAAGACCCUAUAGAUCUUUAAUUCUUUAAUUAUAUUAUUUUUUGGUUUAUUAUUUUUAAUAUAUUUAAUUUUUUUUAGUUGGGGUGACAUGAAGAAUUUAAUUUGAACUCUUUAUAUUAUUUAACAAUUAUUUUUGAUUUAUUGACCUUUUAUUAAUGUUAUAAGAAAAAGAUACCUUAGGGAUAACAGCGUAAUUCUUUUUGAGAGUUCAUAUCGACAAGAGAGAUUGCGACCUCGAUGUUGGAUUAAGAUUAUAAUUAGGUGUAGAUGUUUAAUUAUUAGGUCUGUUCGACCUUUAAAUUCUUACAUGAUCUGAGUUC
rnacentral:rRNA from 1 species